UCUCUGAAUCUCAUCUGAGUGUGUAAACCAUUCUCUGCUAGGGCCAGGGAUUUAGCUCAGUGGUUCUGCCGCCUGCCUCACAAGUGCAAGGUCCCAAGUUUGAUCCCUGGUACUAAAAAAAAAAAAAAUUACACUCUAAUAAACCAUUCUCUGCUUGACUGGGCUCUUCCAUUUCCAAGUGCCCGGGUUUUCAUUUAACAGUUCAAACCUAACUGCGCCAUGGCUGUGAGCAGCAUCUGGCCUCUCACUCUCCUUCUGCUGCAGGUCAGGAUUGUUGUGGUUUAACCAUCAUUCUUGGCAGUGGAAGGAGUCACCCCAGAGCAAAACCCCAUGCUGCCCCUGGAGCCCACAAAAGUUCAUUGCUCCCCUGUGGCCCAUGCUGCCAGGCCAGGCUGCUGAUUCUUGCUGGAUUUGCCAACCCCAGGUACUCACCCUGCAUGUGCAGCGGUAGCCUCUCCAAGGUGCUCCUUAUCCCAUGUCUUCAGAGCUUUGGAUAUUUCUACCUCACCAAUAGCACUAAAGAAUUGGAAAUCUGAUCCAGGGAAUGGGCAGAAUGAACCAGAUUAAAUCUUUGUUUACAAAUUAAAAG
rnacentral:lncRNA from 1 species